GGUUGCCUCACGGCGCCCUCAAAACCCUAAUACAAAUUCAUCCCCGAGCACCCGCCUCUAUAGGGCGAUCGCGAUCGCUUCUCAAACCCUAGCACGGUUAGCCUAUUUAAAGGUUUGAUUCUUUGAUUUAUUUCUCGUUCUCUCUCCAAAUUCCUCCCCUUGCCUCAAAUCGCUGGUAUACCCCUUCGAUUCCCCUCGAUCUAAAUUGGUUCUGUAUUGUUUUGUGACUUAUUCUGAAGCGGGCGAAGAUGAACAUUGCUUAAUUCUGACACCUCUUGUAUGAGUUGAGUCUUUUUCAGAAUAAAAGACUCUUCUUUGAGCACCGAUAGCAACUCUCUGAGCCUUAUUUAUAUCCGUCCUUCCGCCAUCGUGUUUCUCUGUUUUUAUCUAAUUCCUUUCUCAAAUAACAGGACUUCGCCUAAUAUUGCAAUUCUUUGGCCAUGCUUUGGGACCGAGGAAUCUAUCGUUAGGCUAUAUUGAAUUUAUUUUGCGCAUGUAUAUGAUUAUAUAUAUGUUGGCUGCCUUAAGCUCCGAGAACCUUUUUUCUUCUCAAUAGGGUUUUUCGGUGACAAGGUAGACACAAUCUUUUCUGUUCAAUUGUUGAAUAAGUUGUCAUACACAGUCCCUUAAUUUGAAUAUAAGUUAUCGCAUUGGUUGAUGACGUGUUCAAGACUCAGAAAAAAGUGUGAUGGAUUGUCGUUGAUUUUCUUGGCACAUGAUGUUUCAACUAGGUUUAGGGCUUUUCUAUGUUUGGGCACAAACAAUUUUAUAUGUUGUCUUUGUUCACGCAUUUUCCAAUACUUUGAAUUUUUUCUUUCACGUUUUUAUAUUCCUCAUGGACACGGUAUCAUAUGGUGUUGAAUGAUGAAAAAAAUCAGACGGAUUCCCAUUGAUAUUGUUAAUACAUGAUAUCGCAACCAGCUACUUCUGACAGCAUCAUAUGCAUAUUUUUUUUUUGGGGUCAAACAUCAUAUGCUUAUUCAUUCGCCUUGUUUUCUUUGUUUCAAUAUCUCUCUGGUAUUUUAUGCGCCUUUUGGAUUAGUGACUUGUUCGGCCGAUGAUGUUAGAAAAUAUUUGCUACUCUUGAUGGGCCGCAACCAUCUGAUGAUUCUUUUCCACCAAGAUCUCUGAGGCCUCGUCUAUGCUUUUAUAUCCUGUUUUGAUUUAGUACAGACGUUUUUAAACAUGCGUGCUUAGAUUUGCAGGCUUCAUGGGCAAUGGAGAUGUAUAUUAUCAGUUCUGAGUUGUUGACCUCUUCCGAACUGACGAGUUUAAAGAAAAUGAUUCUUUAUUGGUUGUCUAUGUAUAAUUGUCAUGGAAUACAGUUUUUACAAAAUUAUAUCUUAAAUGAACAUUGAUCUCUGGAGUUUAGAUUUUACCCCCUCAAUGCAAUAUGGUAGGUUGGCGGAUUGCUUAGCCCAAAUUAGGUGUUCAGAUUGAUUUGCAGGAAUCAUAACUCCAUAAUGCUGUGUUAUUGUUUAAUAUUCUUUCUGUUUUAAAUUAUAAUAUAUUUUUAAAUGAAUUUUUACAUAUUAAUAAAGUUCAUUGAAUAUACUUUAUAACUUUAUUUUUUUAAAAUAGAAAUAUAAACUUUUAAAAAUGUUCUUUGUUUAAUACUCUAGUGAUGAAAUAAUAUUAAAGGAGUAGAAUAUAUGAAAAAAGUAAUAUUAAAAAUUAUUAUUAAUGAAAUUUUAUUUUUAUUAAAGUGUUUUAUAUUUUGAAAUGUUUAAUUUUUUUAAAAGUAUUUUAUAAUUUGUGAGGAUGGAUAGAGUAUUUUUUAUGAAAACUCCUGAAUUCACCUAGGCGACCUGGAUCCUGGGCCUCCACUGGCGCCGAGUGUAGUCAAGUUGCAGCAGCAUGUUUGGUCAUCGGUGGCUUCCCUGUUUUUAAGGCAGUUUAGUAGGGAAGUAUGCUUGAAGCUGGUUAUAAAGAGAGGUCGAAAAAAAAGAUGGCGUGUUCAUUCUCAUUUGGGAAAAAAGUCUCAAGUGCCAUUGUGAUUGAACCUGCUUGAAUAGAUUUCAUGCCGAAUCUUUAAAUUGACGUAAAGUGAAUUGAUUCUCUGAUGCAGAAUUAUAGCGAUGUGAAUUGAUUCCUUCUAAGAAACAUCCCUAGGUGUUGCUCAUGUUGUUGAAUCAGUUAUGUCUCACCUAAGGGGAUCAAAUAGGCCAAAAGAAAAGGUGAGAUCAUAAAGCAAAAUUGAAUGACUACCAUGAAUUAUAAAUAAAUUAAAUAUUACACCCGAGGAACACGAGCAGCAAGGCUCAUCCAGGACUCCCCCCGUUUUCUACAGAGGCGUGACGAACAAAUAAAACAGGGGUGACAGAGUAUCAUUAU